AGUGAGCGCUCAUCACGGCCCCACCCGACGGCACCCGGUUGUUGUCCAGGCCCAGGGCUUCGGGAGAACACGUUUCUGUCUCCUCGGCCCUCAGGUAGGACAUUUCAGUGGCACCGCACACUGACCCGGACACACGCGUAUGCGGAAUUCAACCCGACGCAAACCUCAGCGGUCUGCUUUCUUCUGGAACUCCCAUCUGGAAUCCCUUUUCUCAUCUCCAUCCUCCUCAGGACCUCGCGCUCAGAAACACACUGUGUCACACUCAUCCACCUUCUCCCGGCUCCGUUCACCCUUCUUCACCUCCUAACACUCCCCGGAUCCUGUGCCGCUCAAAGUGAGUCUUCCACACCUCGGCCUCCCCAGAACCCAAGGGCUGAGAGGACGCCGCCUCCUGCCAGCUCUCCAGGCCACUCGGGGACGCGGCUCGCGGCGCCCCUCCCUAGGCGUUCAGCUCCCCGGGCGUCUGGGUCCCUUCACCUUUCAGGCCUUGCUUUGCUUAGCAUCGUGUCUGACGCCAAGCAGCUUCUCAACGAGCAGAAGGAGGAGGAGAGGACCACAAGGUGACCUUUUCCUGGACCCCGUGGCUCUGGAGCAGUUCUCUGGCCCUGGGACACAGCCUUCUCUUCCACCUGCCGAUGCACAACAAGUCUUUCCCACCCUGUGUGUGUGCGCUGGGGUAGGGUGU
rnacentral:lncRNA from 1 species